UCCUCGGUGGCGCAAUUGGCUAGCGCGUCGUAAGUGGUACCUUGCAUAGAUGAGACGCACGACGUUGUAGUCUGACAAUAUAAUAGUGACUGUUAAUCAGGAGGUUGAAAGUUCGAGCCUUUCCCGGGGAG